rnacentral:rRNA from 1 species
UACGUAGGGGGCUAGCGUUGUCCGGAAUCAUUGGGCGUAAAGCGCGUGUAGGCGGUUCGGUAAGUCCGCUGUGAAAGUCGGGGGCUCAACCCUCGAAAGCCGGUGGAUACUGUCGGACUAGAGUACGGAAGAGGCGAGUGGAAUUCCUGGUGUAGCGGUGAAAUGCGCAGAUAUCAGGAGGAACACCAAUUGCGAAGGCAGCUCGCUGGGACGUUACUGACGCUGAGACGCGAAAGCGUGGGUAGCAAACAGG